rnacentral:rRNA from 1 species
AUGAAAAAGGACGGUGGUAGCUUGGCCGAACGUGUGCUGUUCCUGGGGUCGCCCAACACCUUUGCGAUCGACACCUCCCUGCUCGGUGGCCAUGGAGGUUGCGCCUACUUUGUCUACCCCAACGGUAAGGCCUUUCCACGUAAUGGUUAUGCUAUGCCAAUCGACCAAUAUGGCGUGUUCAGAUACAACCUCAUUGAAAACAAGGUCAAGCUCAUUGAGCGGCUACCCCAAGGAUGGUAUGAAGAGAAGUGCACUUGGCUCAUCCCACAGCCUGCCAUGGCUCAAAUUCAGGAAAUUACUAAAAGGUCUCUCGAGACUCAUGAUAAGAUGCAGCAAAAGCAGCAGAUUACGAGCCCAACAUGCAUCAUUAACAUCGAGAGACAUUAUUGA